UACGUAGGGUGCAAGCGUUGUCCGGAUUUAUUGGGCGUAAAGAGCUCGUAGGCGGUCUGUCGCGUCGGAUGUGAAAACCCAGGGCUCAACCCUGGGCCUGCAUUCGAUACGGGCAGACUAGAGUACGGCAGGGGAGACUGGAAUUCCUGGUGUAGCGGUGAAAUGCGCAGAUAUCAGGAGGAACACCGGUGGCGAAGGCGGGUCUCUGGGCCGGCACUGACGCUGAGGAGCGAAAGCGUGGGGAGCAAACAGG
rnacentral:rRNA from 1 species